GAGUUUGAUCAUGGCUCAGGAUGAACGCUAGCGGCAGGCCUAAUACAUGCAAGUCGAGCGGCAAGUCGAGGAGUAAUCUGAGACCUAGAGCGGCGCACGGGUGCGUAACGCGUAUGCAACCUACCCUUUACCGGGGGAUAGCCCGGGGAAACCCGGAUUAAUACCCCAUAGUAUACAGAGACUGCAUGGUUUUUAUAUUAAAGAUUCAUCGGUAAGGGAUGGGCAUGCGUAGGAUUAGUUAGUUGGCGGGGUAACGGCCCACCAAGACUGUGAUCCUUAGGGGUUCUGAGAGGAAGGUCCCCCACACUGGCACUGAGAUACGGGCCAGACUCCUACGGGAGGCAGCAGUAGGGAAUAUUGGGCAAUGGGCGGGAGCCUGACCCAGCCAUGCCGCGUGCAGGAAGAAGGCGUUAUGCGUUGUAAACUGCUUUUAUACGGGAAGAAAAGGCCCAUGCGUGGGACAUUGCCGGUACCGUAUGAAUAAGCACCGGCUAACUCCGUGCCAGCAGCCGCGGUAAUACGGAGGGUGCAAGCGUUGUCCGGAUUUAUUGGGUUUAAAGGGUGCGUAGGCGGCCCGUUAAGUCAGCGGUGAAAGUCUGUGGCUCAACCAUAGAAGCGCCGUUGAUACUGAUGGGCUUGAGUGCCGUAUGGGUACAUGGAAUUGAUGGUGUAGCGGUGAAAUGCAUAGAUACCAUCAGGAACACCGAUAGCGUAGGCAUUGUACUGUGCGGCA
rnacentral:rRNA from 1 species